rnacentral:rRNA from 1 species
CCUACGGGAGGCAGCAGUGAGGAAUAUUGGUCAAUGGGCGCGAGCCUGAACCAGCCAAGUAGCGUGAAGGAUGACUGCCCUACGGGUUGUAAACUUCUUUUAUAAAGGAAUAAAGUGAGGCACGUGUGCCUUUUUGUACGUACUUUAUGAAGAAGGAUCGGCUAACUCCGUGCCAGCAGCCGCGGUAAUACGGAGGAUCCGAGCGUUAUCCGGAUUUAUUGGGGUUAAAGGGAGCGUAGAUGGGUUGUUAAGUCAGUUGUGAAAGUUUGCGGCUCAACCGUAAAAUUGCAAUUGAUACUGGCAGCCUUGAGUACAGUUGAGGUAGUCGGAAUUCGUGGUGUAGCGGUGAAAUGCUUAGACAUCACGAAGAACACCGAUUGCGAAGGCAGCUUACUAAACUGCCACUGACAUUGAUGCUCGAAAGUGUGGGUAUCAAACAGGAUUAGAUACCCGUGUAGUC